rnacentral:rRNA from 1 species
GUGCGAGUGCCUCGCUUAGCAGCGCAGCUACCAUGCAGUCGAGCGGUAGAGAGAAGCUUGCUUCUCUUGAGAGCGGCGGACGGGUGAGUAAUGCCUAGGAAUCUGCCUGGUAGUGGGGGAUAACGUUCGGAAACGAACGCUAAUACCGCAUACGUCCUACGGGAGAAAGCAGGGGACCUUCGGGCCUUGCGCUAUCAGAUGAGCCUAGGUCGGAUUAGCUAGUUGGUGAGGUAAUGGCUCACCAAGGCGACGAUCCGUAACUGGUCUGAGAGGAUGAUCAGUCACACUGGAACUGAGACACGGUCCAGACUCCUACGGGAGGCAGCAGUGGGGAAUAUUGGACAAUGGGCGAAAGCCUGAUCCAGCCAUGCCGCGUGUGUGAAGAAGGUCUUCGGAUUGUAAAGCACUUUAAGUUGGGAGGAAGGGCAUUAACCUAAUACGUUAGUGUUUUGACGUUACCGACAGAAUAAGCACCGGCUAACUCUGUGCCAGCAGCCGCGGUAAUACAGAGGGUGCAAGCGUUAAUCGGAAUUACUGGGCGUAAAGCGCGCGUAGGUGGUUUGUUAAGUUGGAUGUGAAAUCCCCGGGCUCAACCUGGGAACUGCAUUCAAAACUGACUGACUAGAGUAUGGUAGAGGGUGGUGGAAUUUCCUGUGUAGCGGUGAAAUGCGUAGAUAUAGGAAGGAACACCAGUGGCGAAGGCGACCACCUGGACUAAUACUGACACUGAGGUGCGAAAGCGUGGGGAGCAAACAGGAUUAGAUACCCUGGUAGUCCACGCCCGUAAACGAUGGUCAACUUAGCCCGUUGGGAAGGCCUU